rnacentral:rRNA from 1 species
AGCAAAUAUACGUGAACUGCGAAUGGCUCAUUAAAUCAGUUAUCGUUUAUUUGAUAGUACCUUACUACUUGGAUAACCGUGGUAAUUCUAGAGCUAAUACAUGCUGAAAACCCCAACUUCGGGAGGGGUGUAUUUAUUAGAUAAAAAACCAAUGCCCUCCGGGGCUCUUUGGUGAUUCAUAAUAACUCAACGGAUCGCAUGGCCUUGCGCCGGCGACGGUUCAUUCAAAUUUCUGCCCUAUCAACUUUCGAUGGUAAGGUACCGGCUUACCAUGGUUUCAACGGGUGACGGGGAAUUAGGGUUUGACUCCGGAGAGGGAGCCUGAGAAACGGCUACCACAUCCAAGGAAGGCAGCAGGCGCGCAAAUUACCCAAUCCCGACACGGGGAGGUAGUGACAAUAAAUACUGAUACAGGGCUCUUUUGGGUCUUGUAAUUGGAAUGAGUACAAUUUAAACCUCUUAACGAGGAACAAUUGGAGGGCAAGUCUGGUGCCAGCAGCCGCGGUAAUUCCAGCUCCAAUAGCGUAUAUUAAAGUUGUUGCAGUUAAAAAGCUCGUAGUUGAACCUUGGGCCUGGCUGGCCGGUCCGCCUCACCGCGUGUACUGGUCUGGCCGGGCCUUUCCUUCUGGAGAGCCUCAUGCCCUUCACUGGGUGUGCUGGGGAACCAGGACUUUUACUUUGAAAAAAUUAGAGUGUUCAAAGCAGGCCUUUGCUCGAAUACAUUAGCAUGGAAUAAUAGAAUAGGACGUGCUGUCCUAUUUUGUUGGUUUCUAGGACAGCCGUAAUGAUUAAUAGGGACAGUCGGGGGCAUCAGUAUUCAAUUGUCAGAGGUGAAAUUCUUGGAUUUAUUGAAGACUAACUACUGCGAAAGCAUUUGCCAAGGAUGUUUUCAUUAAUCAGUGAACGAAAGUCAGGGGAUCGAAGACGAUCAGAUACCGUCGUAGUCUUGACCGUAAACUAUGCCGACUAGGGAUUGGGCGGUGUUACUCUUUUGACUCGCUCAGCACU